AUGAGGUUCUCUGCUCAGCUUCUGGGGCUGCUUGUGCUCUGGAUCCCUGGAUCCACUGCAGAUAUUGUGAUGACGCAGGCUGCAUUCUCCAAUCCAGUCACUCUUGGAACAUCAGCUUCCAUCUCCUGCAGGUCUAGUAAGAGUCUCCUACAUAGUAAUGGCAUCACUUAUUUGUAUUGGUAUCUGCAGAAGCCAGGCCAGUCUCCUCAGCUCCUGAUUUAUCAGAUGUCCAACCUUGCCUCAGGAGUCCCAGACAGGUUCAGUAGCAGUGGGUCAGGAACUGAUUUCACACUGAGAAUCAGCAGAGUGGAGGCUGAGGAUGUGGGUGUUUAUUACUGUGCUCAAAAUCUAGAACUUCCUCC